rnacentral:misc_RNA from 1 species
AUAUUAUUUUGGUUUGUGAGCUAAUAGAGUUGGAUUUCAGAAAGUAUGCAUAAAGGGAGGAGAACUGCCACAGCACAACAAUCGGAAGUGCCGGAUGAGGUAUUGGCAUAGCAUGGGGUGUCGGCUCCUAAAAAGUGUGGUAAGAGACCCAGAGCUUCUCAGGUGGAAGAGCAACCACAACUAGAAGAGCAAUCAUAUAUAGCAUAGGGUCCUAUAG